UACAGGGGGUGCAAACGUUGCUCGGAAUCAUUGGGCGUAAAGCGCACGUAGGCGGUUCGUUAUGUCGGAUGUGAAAGCCCUUGGCUUAACCGAGGAAGUGCAUCCGAAACUGGCGAGCUAGAGUACUAAAGAGGAUCGCGGAAUUCCCGGUGUAGAGGUGAAAUUCGUAGAUAUCGGGAGGAACACCGGUGGCGAAGGCGGUUCUCUGGGCCUUACCUGACACUGAGGAGCGAAAGCGUGGGGAGCGAACAGG
rnacentral:rRNA from 1 species